rnacentral:lncRNA from 1 species
GUAGCAUGUAAUGUGGGCAGCUUUGAACUUGUUUGGUGUCGUACUCUGUAGAUGAUGACAGUGGCUGGAUUGACUGGCAACUCGAUCGGUGGCAAUUGGAAUGUGGAUCGACGUUCGCUCAUGGGCGAUAACGACUCCCUAUGAGGUUUCACUUAGGAGAAGUGGUUCUGCUAGUGGGCGGCAAAGUUCCAAUGGUGGGCAAUGAACCGCAAGAUGAUAACGUUCCAAUCAAUGGUCGAUUAGUUGAAAAGUGGUGGUGAAAU